CCCCUAGACGUUCUGGGCUGCACGCGCGCUACAAUAAUACGCACAGCGAGUAUCACCGAGCUCGAAAGAGCAAGGUAAACAAUAGAAAAGGUACUGUAAUGGUUAUAGAUCCUUGUAAUUAUUGAUCUUCAACGAGGAAUUCCUAGUAAGUAUGUGUCAUCAUCACGCACUGAUUACGUCCCUGCCCUUUGUACACACCGCCCGUCGCUCCUACCGAUUGGGUGAGCCGAUGAAACUCUCGGAUGUAGGCUAUUCAUAGCCCGCAGAAGAGAUUUGAAUCGUAGCGCUUAGAGGAAGGAGAAGUCGUAACA
rnacentral:rRNA from 1 species